GGAGCUCUGGAAAGUGCCUCCGGCUUGAAUAUGUUUCGUAUUUCCUAUCUGUGCAACGGAAUCCAUCGAAGGAUAUUGGCCCAGAUGCCACACCGUCUUUCAAUUAAAUUACCGGUUUUGUUGCUGAAAGUUUUUCUUGAAACCAAAAGCCAGCCUGUGGUGGAAUCUGCUAGAACUGUCAAGGAUUAUGAAGGUGCGCCAGAGUUCAGACUGAGAAGAACUUAUUUGGAUUCUGGGACUAUGUUCCCGCAAGGACUUUUAUUCCACACUUUGUUCUACGAAACUUAAACGGAAACAACUUCUCAGGGUGAACAGCACAAUUUGGCUACGUAUCUUUAUCCUAAGUUCCCUCUUGUCUCUCUUGGUACUAUGUUUCAAUCGCUUCUGCCCUUUGCAUAAAAUGUUCCAACUUUUAUAUGGUAAAUUGUAGUUAUCAUUGAGUAAAUACAUUCGUGUGGGCACUAGACACAAGGAC
rnacentral:lncRNA from 1 species